CUGGAUCUUGUGCGGGCCGGGGGCGCCGCCAUUGAGGAUCGCGGAGUCCUUGGGUUCGAUCGCCACGAUCUGGAC
rnacentral:tRNA from 1 species